CGGACGGGUGAGUAAUGUCUGGGAAACUGCCCGAUGGAGGGGGAUAACUACUGGAAACGGUAGCUAAUACCGCAUAACGUCGCAAGACCAAAGAGGGGGACCUUCAGGCCUCUUGCCAUCGGAUGUGCCCAGAUGGGAUUAGCUAGUAGGUGGGGUAACGGCUCACCUAGGCGACGAUCCCUAGCUGGUCUGAGAGGAUGACCAGCCACACUGGAACUGAGACACGGUCCAG
rnacentral:rRNA from 1 species